rnacentral:rRNA from 1 species
UGCGCUGUUUUUCACCAGGAACAUUAAGUUGUGCAAAAAAAUAAAUCUUCCAGUGAAACUGCGAAUGGCUCAUUAAAUCAGUUAUCGUUUAUUUGAUAGUUCCUUUACUACAUGGUAUAACUGUGGUAAUUCUAGAGCUAAUACAUGCUUAAAAUCUCGACCCUUUGGAAGAGAUGUAUUUAUUAGAUAAAAAAUCAAUGUCUUCGGACUCUUUGAUGAUUCAUAAUAACUUUUCGAAUCGCAUGGCCUUGUGCUGGCGAUGGUUCAUUCAAAUUUCUGCCCUAUCAACUUUCGAUGGUAGGAUAGUGGCCUACCAUGGUUUCAACGGGUAACGGGGAAUAAGGGUUCGAUUCCGGAGAGGGAGCCUGAGAAACGGCUACCACAUCCAAGGAAGGCAGCAGGCGCGCAAAUUACCCAAUCCUAAUUCAGGGAGGUAGUGACAAUAAAUAACGAUACAGGGCCCAUUCGGGUCUUGUAAUUGGAAUGAGUACAAUGUAAAUACCUUAACGAGGAACAAUUGGAGGGCAAGUCUGGUGCCAGCAGCCGCGGUAAUUCCAGCUCCAAUAGCGUA